GAUGAACGCUAGCGGCAGGCCUAAUACAUGCAAGUCGAACGGCAGCAGGCUGUAGCAAUACAGUGCUGGCGAGUGGCGCACGGGUGCAUAACACGUAUGUAAUUUGCCCAUAACUGGGGAAUAGCCCUCCGAAAGGAGGAUUAAAACCCCAUAACCCAGCGAGGUGGCAUCACUUUUCUGGUAAAACUCCGGUGGUUAUGGAUAAGCAUGCGUCCGAUUAGCUAGUUGGCGAGGUAACGGCUCACCAAGGCAACGAUCGGUAGGGGGUCUGAGAGGAUGAUCCCCCACACGGGUACUGAGACACGGACCCGACUCCUACGGGAGGCAGCAGUAAGGAAUAUUGGACAAUGGAGGCAACUCUGAUCCAGCCAUGCCGCGUGAAGGAUGAAGGCGCUACGCGUGGUAAACUUCUUUUCUCUUAGAAAAAACAUUUGGUUUCGUACCGAAUCUGAUUGUACAAGAGGAAUAAGCAUCGGCUAACUUCGUGCCAGCCGCCGCUGUAAAAC
rnacentral:rRNA from 1 species